rnacentral:rRNA from 1 species
CGCCUACAAGCAGUGGGAGGAUCUUCAUGAUCUGACCGCGUACCUCUUGCAUAAUGGGUCUGUGACUUAAUGUAUCAAGCAAGCUUAAGCCGUUAGGUGUAGGCGCAGCGAAAGCGAGUCUGAAUAGGGCGCCAGAGUUUGAUGUAUUAGACCCGAAACCCGGCGAUCUAGGCAUGACCAGGAUGAAGGUGCAGUAACAUGCACUGGAGG